rnacentral:rRNA from 1 species
GACGAACGCUGGCGGCGUGGAUUAGGCAUGCAAGUCGAACGGUAGGAUACCUUCGGGUAUCUGAGAGUGGCGAACGGGUGAGUAACACGUAGGUGAUCUACCCUCAAGAUUGGGACAACCCAGGGAAACUUGGGCUAAUACCGGAUGAAAGCAGCAGUGAUGUUGUUUGAAAGGUGGCGUAAGCUGCCGUUUGGGGAUGAGCCUGCGCUCUAUUAGUUAGUUGGCGGGGUAAAGGCCCACCAAGGCGAUGAUAGAUAGGCGGCCUUAACGGGUGGUCGCCCACACUGGGAUUGAGAUACGGCCCAGACUCCUACGGGAGGCAGCAGUCGAGAAUAGUCUACAAUGGCCGAAAGGCUGAUAGUGCGACGCCGCGUGAACGAAGAAGCCCUUCGGGUGUAAAGCACUUUUUGAGAGGAUGAGGAAGGACGGUACUCUCAGAAUAAGUCUCGGCUAACUACGUG